AUUGAACGCUGGCGGCAGGCCUAACACAUGCAAGUCGAGCGGAGCGGCGGACGGGUGAGUAAUGCCUAGGAAUCUGCCUGGUAGUGGGGGAUAGCGUCAGCAAACGGGAGCUAAUACCGCAUCCUCUAAGCUGAGCAUAGGUCGGAUUAGGUAGUUGGUGGGGGAGAGGCCUACCAAGGCGACGAUCCGUACCUGGUCUGAGAGGUUGAUCAGUCCCACUGGAACGGAGACACGGUCCAGACUCCUACGGGAGGCAGCAGUGGGGAAUAUUGGACAAUGGGCGAAAUCCUGAUCCAGCCAUUCCGCGUGUGGGAAGAAGGUCUUCGGAUUGUAAAGCACUUUAAGUUGGUAGUCGUGACCAACAGAAUAAGCACCGGCUAACUUCGUGCCAGCAGCCGCGGUAAUAC
rnacentral:rRNA from 1 species